GAUGAAGAACGCAGCGAAAUGCGAUAAGUAAUGUGAAUUGCAGAAUUCAGUGAAUCAUCGAAUCUUUGAACGCACCUUGCGCUCCUUGGUAUUCCGAGGAGCAUGCCUGUUUGAGUGUCAUGAAAUUCUCAACCUUUUCAGCUUUCUUUGUUGAUCAGGCUUGGAUGUGGAGUAUGCGGGCUUCUCAGAAGUCGGCUCUCCUGAAAUGCAUUAGCGGGACCUUUGUUGCCUGGCUUUGGUGUGAUAAUUAUCUACGCCAUUGUAGUCAAGCAGCUUAAAAUGAGGUUUCAGCUUCUAACCGUCUCCCCUGAGACAACUUUUUGACAAUUUGACCUCAAAUCAGGUAGGACUACCCGCUGAACUUAAGCAUAUCAAAACGGAGGA
rnacentral:misc_RNA from 1 species